rnacentral:rRNA from 1 species
GGUUGGAAAUCAUUCAUAGAGUGUAAAGGCAUAAGGGAGCUUGACUGCGAGACCUACAAGUCGAGCAGGGUCGAAAGACGGACUUAGUGAUCCGGUGGUUCCGCAUGGAAGGGCCAUCGCUCAACGGAUAAAAGCUACCCCGGGGAUAACAGGCUUAUCUCCCCCAAGAGUUCACAUCGACGGGGAGGUUUGGCACCUCGAUGUCGGCUCAUCGCAUCCUGGGGCUGUAGUCGGUCCCAAGGGUUGGGCUGUUCGCCCAUUAAAGCGGUACGCGAGCUGGGUUCAGAACGUCGUGAGACAGUUCGGUCCCUAUCCGUCGUGGGCGUAGGAAAUUUGAGAGGAGCUGUCCUUAGUACGAGAGGACCGGGAUGGACAUACCUCUGGUGUACCAGUUGUCGUGCCAACGGCAUAGCUGGGUAGCUAUGUGUGGACGGGAUAAGUGCUGAAAGCAUCUAAGCAUGAAGCCCCCCUCAAGAUGAGAUUUCCCAACUUCGGUUAUAAGAUCCCUCAAAGAUGAUGAGGUUAAUAGGUUCGAGGUGGAAGCAUGGUGACAUGUGGAGCUGACGAAUACUAAUCGAUCGAAGACUUAAUCAA